rnacentral:lncRNA from 1 species
UUGGCAGCUUGCCGUUUUAUCGGUGUUGGAGGAGGAACCAAGUUGCCUGGCUGUGGAUGGUGCCGGGAGGCUCACCGGGCCUGCGGGAACGGAUGCAGGGAAGAUUCGAGAGUCGGGGAGAUUCCGUCUCCGUGCCCUGUGCACCCCUUGACCCCAGAGAAUGUCCUGACUACCCAAGCCCGGAUAUCCUUGGCAGUAGGGGGGGCGACCUCGCGGGGAUGUCUGCAAGGACCUCCUUUGGAGCCCGCCCGGGAGUCGUCGCCCUUGGCGUUGUGUCUGCUUUACAGAGCGGGGGACGGAGGCUCAAAGCCACGCGUUCCGAGGUCAUGACCAGCUUGUGGCUGGACUACGGGCGUGAUGAGUGAGCCGAUCAACUAGUCACGGCUGAAGGAUUCUUCCACCCGACCUGACUCGGAGUCCCAGUGUCCUGAGUCCCCGACUGAGCUACAGGCCUCGAUGUUCUGGAUGAUGGAGCGUUCGCAGGUGGGGAGUCUUCAUCCCAGAAUUCGGUAUGUUAAGAUGUAGAGGGUACAGACAGAGGGAUCUGCAUGUGCAAAGAUUCGGAGGUGAGACUGACCUGAGAACAUUCAGGAAAAUUCUCAUUCUUCCACUGCAUGAAGAGAGGAGUCCUGCCUCUAUUCAUUGGCUGAAUGUGCUGGGAGUCAUAGAAAUUUUUGAGUAGAAGCGGGAUAUCCAUUGUCUGGAUUUAGGAUUUUGAAAGUAUCCCAAUGAAUACCAAGUAAACAUACUGAGUGAACACACCGGUGGGAGAGGGGUUGUGAGGAUGCUGCUGCAAUAUUCUUCCAGACAGUUAUGAUGAUGGCCUGUCCAGGGUAGAAGUAGGAGAGGUGAGAGAAGUGAUCAGAUUUCGGUUAGAUUUUCAAGAUGAAGUUAACGGGAUUUCCUGCUACGUGUGACGAGUGAACGUAAGUGGUGGAUAAAAGACCAUCCCGAGUGUUUAGGAAGAAUGAGAUAUUGUACAUGGAGAUGGGAGUUUGGCAAGAGGAGGAUAUUUUGGGGAAGAUUAGCAGUUGGAUUUUGUAGAUGUGGACUUCUAAGUGGAAGUGACUACGUGCCAUGGACACAUAGGGAGUUUUGGUUUGGCCUCCGAUCUCCAGGUUGCAGUUCACUGGUGGCCUGGACCAAGGAAGGGCCUGAGAAUGGCAUUUUGGAAGGAGAGUCUUAGGUUGUGGUUGCAGAUAAGUGGCCCUGAGGUGAGUGUGGGGUGUCCAGGAUAAGGACCAGUGGCCGGGUGGAGGAGAUGGGUGCAGAAAAGGAGAAGCACUGUCCAAAGACCAAUGGAUCCGGGGAGAGGGCACAUCCAGGAGGAGGGCCCACCCUUUCAGAUAUGAGAGGGUAAGCAGGCAUGUCAGGGGACAAGGUUGGGAGACAUAAAGGGAGGUGGCCGCAGGACAGAGACUGGGGUCCCAGGUCCCAUGCCCAGUGCUUAGGUUGCAUCCAUCUGCUCCCUGGCCUGCUAUAGCAAGGCCCAGUGACUUUUAAGAAGGUCACAUACUGCUUUCAGAAAAAGUGGGGCUCCUUCAUGAGACACAGUAGGGCUACUACCAUGACAUGGUGCUGUCCUCACCAGGUUAGGCCACUAUGUUCCCCAUGGGAUAUGCGGCUGGUCCUGGUGCUGGCCCAUGUCUUGAUACAUCUUCUCCCAGACUGCUGUAUAAACAACUCCAGUAUCUUUUAGGUCAAGGGUCAAAAGUAUCACAACUUGCAUAGCAGAUCACAUCCAGCUUGGUUAUUAUCUGGCCAAGUGACCCAGUCGAGGUGUGUUGCUUUUCUUUCUCCUCUGUCACACUUCCUCAUUCCAGCAGGUUUUCUGCCAGCUGCCCCUUGUCAGCCCCUGCGAUGGCGCAUGGACACAGACAUGAUCACUGAUUGUGGGGACAAUGCACCUUUCCCCUGAGAUCUUUCCUGGUUGUUCAUUUUGUGAGGUUCGGUCCUCCAGAUGCAUGAGUGAUCCUUAUCCACCUCAGUCUGUCAUGGGUGAAUCAUGACAGACCUGGGGCUGGCCUCCCACAAGCCACUUGACCCCUCAUGACUGCCUGCACUACCAUCAAUGUGGUCACCCAAGGUGAACAUGGCCAGGAGACCUGGACAGGGCAGCUUGAAUCAGUCCAUGACCAGAGAGGCCCAUGGAGGACCAGUUCUGGUCAGUGCAAGACUGGUAGGGGAGGGCCUGUGGCAGCGGGCUUGUUUCUCACCUGGUACCUGACCUGUGCCCUCUCUUACCCUGGUGCCAAAGUGAGUAGCCAUGCCUCUUUUCUGUCAUUCUGGAACUUCAUUCUACUUUCCCUUGACUCAUAUUUCCUGGCUGAUCCCUCUGUAUCCUUUUCCUCUCAGCCUUUCGCCUUCUCCCCUUUUAUGGUCAGAUCCUCCACCAUUGGCCUCCCCUUAACAUGUUCUGAGCUGAUACGUAUCCUCAAGUAGUUCUUGAAAGGGUGCCUGGGUAGCUCAGUCGGUUGAAUGUCCAACUCUUGAUUUCAGCCCAGGUCAUGAUCCGAGGGUCAUGGGAUCAAGCCCCCAUCCGGGUCCAUGCUGAGUGUGGAGCCUGCUUGAGAUAUUCAUUCUCUCUCUCUCUCUCUCAAAAAAUUUUUUAAGGAAAAAGAAAAUUUAUCUCUUCACGGGACUGCUUGCUUCCUCUAAGGAAGGUGGAUAUAAUGUCAGUGGCUGGACCACCCUCACUGCGUAGCACCUGCCUGUCACCAGACACUGAGGCCCUUUUGCAGAACUCACAGAGAACUGACACUGAAGAGACACCCAGUAAACACAUGGUAUAUGGAGAGGUGUUCAAUCAAUAAAAAAUACCAGAAUGGGGGGCGCCUGGGUGGCUCAGUCGAUGGAGCGGCCGACUACAGCUCAGGUCAUGAUCUCGCGGUUCAUGGGUUCAAGCCCCUACGUCAGGCUCUGUGCUGACAGCUCAGAGCCUGGAGCCUGCUUCAGAUUCUGUGUCUCCCUCUUUUUCUGCCCCGCUCCUACUCGCACUCUCUCUCUCAAAAAUAAGUAAAACAUUAAAAAAAAUUUUUUUUUAAUUUUCAGAAUGGGAAAAAAAUCCCAAGUACAUUGGGAAGAUGGGAAGGCCUUCACCUUUGUCUCCACUCUGAGAAAGCAGAAGUACAUUCAUGUCUUCAAAUGUCAUGAUUGUUGUAAUGUGAGAAAGCCUCCAGCCAGAGCUCUAUUCCUUUUGAGAAUGAGAAUGUUUGCCCCUUAGAAAACACUCAUUAAGGGGCGCCUGGGUGGCGCAGUCGGUUAAGCGUCCGACUUCAGCCAGGUCACGAUCUCGCGGUCCGUGAGGUCGAGCCCCGCGUCAGGCUCUGGGCUGAUGGCUCGGAGCCUGGAGCCUGUUUCCGAUUCUGUGUCUCCCUCUCUCUCUGCCCCUCCCCCGUUCAUGCUCUGUCUCUCUCUGUCCCAAAAAUAAAUAAACGUUGGAAAAAAAAAAUUAAAGAAAAAAAAAAAAGAAAGAAAACACUCAUUAAGGCAGGGAGUGUGGCCCAGCCUUGAGCAAACUUUUGCAUUUCCCCUUGCACCAAAGGAGUCAAGUGCCGAGAAUGUGGGCAUCUGCAUUCAGAGCUCUAUUCUUGUUAGCACCAAAAGAUUCAUGCCAGAGAACAGUUGUACAAAUACAGUAACCACCUGAAAGCUCUCAGGAAAAUUGAACCUCUUUCACACAGUCCCCACUGGAGAAAGGCAUAAGGAGUGCAGCUGGUGUUGGAUAGCCUCCUUGCCCAGAUUUAAUCAAGUUUUGCAGCAGCAAGUUACUGCAUUGUGAGUGUAGUGAGUAGGAGAGCAAAGCAGCUCCUGCUGGGUCCUGCAUAGAAAUAUUCACACUGGAGAAAGCUCCUGUGUGUACAGCUGGUAUGGGAGACUCAGCCACAGCUCCUGCCCACCAACCAGCACAAAACCUUCACUAGUGAAAAGCCAUUUUAGGAGCAGUGAAUUUAGUAAAGUCUUCAGCUGCCCCCGCCCCCCCCUUUUUUUUUUAGCAUUCUCUUUUAAAUGAUGUUUUAAAAACUUCAUUCAAUAUAAAAGAAUUAACACCUGAAAAAUACCGUAUACAAAUAGCCUUCAGCCACAAGUUGUACCUUGUAUAGAAGUUAUUUUUUUUUAAUUUUUUAACGCUUAUUUAUUUCUGAGAGGGGGGAGGGGCAGAGAGAGAGGGAGACAGAGGAUCCAAAGCAGACUCUGCGCCGUGAGCACAGAGUCUGAUGUGGGGCUCGAACCCACAACCAUGAGAUCAUGACCUGAGCUGAAAUCAAGAGUCGGCUGUUCAACCCACUGAUCCACCUGGCGCCCCAGAACUUCUACCUGCAGAGAUAACUCCACCAAUGCCCUGUAGGGGCCCCUAUAGGGGCCAUACUGUACUUUGUGACCAGCUGUCACACCGCUGGGUGCUAUGGAAAAUGUCCUUCUGUGUUUGAUGGUCAUCUAUUACUCAGUGUAAGCAGCCCCUGUUCCCUGCUUGCCCUCCUCUGGAGGGAUGGUGGUGGCCCUGCACCCAUUGAAGUGAUGUCCUACUGCUCACCCAUGACUGAGUUUGGCACGGACAUGACUCUUGCUCUGAGCAAGGGGCCUGAUAAGAUAGUUCCUGGAGGGCUUCUAGGGAAGUUUUCCCAUUGUUUAUGGACCUUGUGAAAUCUGCCUUUGACAUCCAUGAUGUCUUCAUUGAGUUUCUCCAGGUACUCAUAACAUAGUUUAUAUGCGUUGCUAUCAUUACCCAGCUCUGGUACCAUGACUUCAGACUGCUCUGCACCAUUUGAUACUGAAUACAUCACCAAUUAAUUCACCUUUGAUAUUGGAGUCCUGUUUAUCGGGAGUGAAUUGGAAACAGAACAGAGUUCUCAGACUGGUUAUCAGGUUCCCUAUAGCACCUGACAGGGCACAACAGUAAGGCAUGGAGCAUUUCUGACCAGAUGUGACCCAAUUUGCAUUUCUACCCCGUGUUCUCUGACAAAGAAUGAAAGCCUCUGUGUUCUGAAGCUUCUCACCUGGAGUUCGCCUGGAAAAGCCAGUCAGCAGUCUGGAAGAAGCAAGAUAAUGGUCUGUGUUUUAGGAAAUGUCUCUUCCACCCAGCAGUGGUGAAAGGAAGCACUCUGAAGGCCAGACCCUGGUAAUAUACCAUCCACCUGUGUUUGUACAAGGAUGAAUUGAGUGCUGUAAAUGGGUAAAGAAUACUGAGUGUGAGGAAAUAAGGUGUAGGGAGCCUGGUGAACUGUUUUGAUGUCUGGGCCUUUGCAGGAUUGAGGUGUGCAGGUGUUGGGUCGCCUGGGUGGCUCAGUCAGUUAAGUGUCUGACUUUGGCUCAGGUCAUGAUAUUGCGGUUUGUGGGUUUGAGCCCUGUGUCAGGCUCUGUGCUGACAGCUCAGAGCCUGGAGCCUGCUUCGGAUUCUGUGUCUCCUUCUCUCUCUGCCCCUCCCCUGCUCAUGCUCUGUCUCUCUCUCAAAAAUUGAUAAACAUUAAAAAAAAAAAAAAAAAGUGUGCAGGUGUAGAUCUGUAUAUCUCCCACAGCUGUAGUCAACAUAUUUUUUAUGCAUUCCUGUCAUCUCUUAGUGGGCUGGAUACUUUUGGUCAUCACCAUGCGGUCAGGAACUCCAGGACUGUGAGAAAGAACAGCCCAUAGCCUUUUUGUUAAAUGGCUUUAUUGAAGUAUAAUUUACAUAUUAUAGAAUACAUCCAUUAUAAUUGCAUAAUUAAUGAUUUUUAGUAAAAUUAUAGAGUUGUACAACCAUUAUUAUCUCACCCCAUUCCCAUUGCCUCAAAAUGUGCGGUUGGACACUUUUUUUUUUUUUAAGUUUAUUUGUUUAAUUUGAGAGAAGGAGAGAGAGAGCAUGAACCGAGGAAGAGCAGAGAGAGAGAGUAUCCCAAGCAGGCUCCAUGCUGUCAGCAUAGAACCCCAUGUGGGGCUUGAACUCACAAAUCCACGAGAUCAUGACUCGAGCCAAAAUCAAGAGUAGGACACCUAACCAAGUGAGCCACGUAGGUGCCCCUGGACACUUAUAUAGCCAAAACCACUCCCAUCCUCAGCCCCUGGCAACCACUAAUCCAUGUUAUAUCUCUAUACUUUUGCCUUUCCUGAUAUUUGGUAUCAAUGGAAUCAUAUAAUAUAUAUCCCUUUGUGUGUCAUUUCUAUCACUUAGCAUAAUGUUGUUGAGGGUUUUGUUUUUGGUUUUUUGUUGUUUUUUGUUUGUUUGUUUGUUUUUGCUUUUUAAACUUUAUUCUGGGGGUGCCUAACUGGCUUAGUGUGUUCUUGAGGUUUAUUCAUGUUAUGUUAUAUAUCAGUAUUUUAUUCCAUUUUAUUGCUGAAUAAUAUUCCCUUGUAUGGAUAUACCACAUUUUAUUUGUCAUUAAUUGAUAGACAACAGUUCUUGGCCAUUACAAAUAAUGCUGCUAGGCAUAUUUGCUUACAAGUCUUUCUGUAGAUGUAUGUUUUCUUGUUGCUUGGGUAGAUUGUGUAGGGGCUGAGGGCAGGCUGCCCCAAGAUGGGCCGCUUCAGCAUAAAGAUUAUUUUGAGUUAGGGGCGCCUGGGUAGCUCAGUCACUUAAGCGUCCAACUUUUUAUUUCUGCUUGGGUUGUGAUCUCAUAGUUGGGGAAUUCAACUCCCGCAUCAGGUUCUGCACUGGCAGCGCAGGGCCUGCUUGGGAUUCUCUCUCAGCUUCUCUCUCUCUCUCUCUCAAAAUAAAUAAACUUUUUUUUUUAAGUAAUCAAAACCCAGCAGAUGCAGGAAAAGCUCUCUGCCUUUCCCACAACUGUCUAAUUUACAUUGGAAGGAGAGCCUGUAAUAGGAAGAGAGCAAUUAACAGACACUUCCCUUUGCCUAAGGAAUUUAUCUGCCUCAUAGAGCAAACUUGUGUUUCUAAACAUCUUUCACCUUCUUGCUAAAAGCUUUCUCCUUUUCAUAUCCUCAGACCUCUGCCCCUCUCUUCAGCUCAUGUGAGCUUCAUGUGCCCCAUUGUCUUUGAAAUUUCAUGUCUGUGGAUUCCCUGUAUAUGCACUCAUUAAAUAUUAUUUUCUCCUGUUAAUCUGUCUCAUGUCCAUUUGGUUCUAAGUCCAUUUAGAAGGAUUAUAGAGCAGAGGAAGGUCUUUCUGCCUGACAGUUUCUAGGAGUGGAACUGCUGAGUGAAGUUCACUUUAACUCUUUACUGCCAAAUUUUUCCAAAGCGUCUCUACUAUUUUAUAUUCCCACCAGCACUGUAGAACUGUUCCAUUUUCUCCACCUUCCUGCCAAUACUUGGUGUUGCCAUACUAGCGUGAAGUGGUAUCUCAAUGGAUUUUUUAAAAUUGUGGUAAAAUAUACACAAAACUUCUAUUUUUUAAGGGUUAUUUAUUUUGAGAGUGAGAGAAAGUGUGAGUGGGGGAGGGGCAGAGAGAGGAGAGAAUCUCAAGCAGAUUCUGCACUAUCAGUGUGGAGCCCAAUUCGGGGCUCAAACCCACAAAUCUCGAGAUCAUGACCUGAGCUGAUGUUGGACACUUAACUGACUGAGCCACCCAGGUGCCCCUAAAACUUCUAUUUUUAGGUGUAUAGUCCAAUGACAUUAAGUAAACACACAGUUCUACAACUAUCACUCCUAAACAUCUCUCCAACUUUUUCAUUAUUAUAAACUGAAACUCUGUGCCCAUCAAAUAAUAGUCUCAAGGGGAUUUUAAUGUAUAUUCUCCUAAUGAAUAAUGAUGUCAGGCAUCUUUUCUUGUGCUUAUUAACUGUUUAUUUUCUUUGAUAAAAUGUCUACUCAAAUCUUUUUGCUCAUUUUUACUUGGGUUGUCUUUUUUUUUUUUCCUUUCAUUUUUUUGAUGGUUUAUUCAUUUUUCAGAGACAGAGAGACAGAGCAUGAGCAGGGGAGGGGCAGAGAGAGAGGGAGACACAGAAUCUGAAACAGGCUCCAGGCUCUGAGCUGUCAGCACAGAGCCCGACCUGGGGCCCAGACUCACGGACGGCAAGAUCAUGACCUGAGCUGAAGUUGGACUCUUAACCAACUGAGCCACCCAGGUGCCCCUACUUGGGUUGUCUUCUUAUUGAGUUGUUCAAAUUCUUUAUAUAUUCUGUAUUAAGACUCCAUAUAUAUGUACAGGUGUUUCAUCUCGGCCUGUAGCUUGUUUUUGUUUAAUGUUUAUUUAUUUUUGAGAGAGAGAGAAAGAGAGCAUGAGCAGGGGAGGGACAGAGAGAGAGAGGGAGACACAGAAUCCAGAGCAGGCUCCAGGCUCUGAGCUAUCAGCACAGAGCCUGACAUGGGGCUCGAACUCAUGAACCGCAAGAUCAUGACCUGAGCCAAAGUCAAGACACUUAACCAACUGAGCCACCUAGGCGCCCCUUGUUUUAAUUUUCAUAAUGACAUCUUUUGAAGAGCAAUAUUUUAUUUUUAUUUAUUUUUUAAAUGUAAACUCUAUGCCCAACAUGGGGCUUGAAGUCACAACCCUGACAUCAAGAAUAGCAUACUCUACUGACUGAGCCAGCCAGGUGCCCCUUGAAAAGCAAUAUUUUACAUUGUGAUGAAGUCUAAUUUGUUAGUUUUUCCUUUUAUGUUUUGUCUUCUGGUUCAUAUCUAAAAAAUUCUUUGCCUAACUCAGUCAAAAUUUUUCUCCUAUUAGCUUUAUAGUUUUAGCUCUUACAUUUCCAUUUAUGGUCCAUUCUAUGAUAACUUUUUUUUUUAAUUUUUUUUUAACGUUUACUUAUUUUUGAGACAGAGAGAGACAGAGCAUGAACAGGGGAGGGGCAGAGAGAGAGGGAGACACAGAAUCUGAAACAGGCUCCAGGCUCUGAGCGGUGAGCACAGAGCCCGACACGGGGCUCGAACUCACAGACGGUGAGAUCAUGACCUGAGCCGAAGUCAGACGCUCAACCGACCAAGCCACCCAGGCGCCCCUAUGAUAACUUUUUUAAUAUUUAUUUUGAGAGAGAGAGAGAAAAAAAACUCAAGUGGGGGAGGAGCAGAGAGAGAGGAAGAGAGAGAACCCCAAGAAGGCUCCAUGCUGACAGCAUGGGGCUUGAUCCCACACCUGUGAGAUCAUGACCUGAGUUGAAAUCAAAAGACAGACACUUAACUGAGCAACCCAGGCACCCCUCAUAUGUCUUCUUUAGUGAAGUGAGUGUUCAAGUCACCAUUUUUUUAAAAAUUAGGUUGUCUUUUGUAAGUGUUCCUCAUAGGUUCUAGAUUCACAUCCCUUGUUAGGAUUUGUUUUGCAGAUAGUUCUUCCAGUCUAUGGCUUGCAUUUUCAUUUUGUUGAAGUGACUAUUGAGAAGCAAAAGUUUGGGCGCCUGGAUAGCUCAGUUGGUUUAAGCUUCUGACUUUGGCUCAGGUCAUGAUCUCACGGUCGUGGGUUUGAGCCCCAUGUUGGGCUCUGUGCUGACAGCUUGGAGCCUGGAGCCUGCUUCAGAUACUGUGUCUCCCUGUCUCUGUCCCUCCCCUACUCUCAUUCUGUGUUUCUCUCUCUCUCAAAAAUAAACAUUAAAAAAAAAGAAAAGCAAAAGUUAAAAAUUUUUAUUAAGUCCAAUUGAUUUAUCUUUUUCUUCUCAUGCUUUUUGUUAUACUUAAGAAAUACACUAAAUCUGAGGGCUGACCAGAACCUUUUAAUACAAGGACCUUUGCCUAUAGUUCUCGGGCAUUCACUUUCGAAUGUUCCCUUUCUGUAAAGAGAGCUUUCCAAUGAUUCUUCCUUUCUGAUCUUAUCCUCUAAUAAACUUUUGCCUGCUACUAAAAAAAAGAAAAGAAAUCCACCAAAUCCAAGAUCACUAUGUUUUCUUCUAGAUUUUUUAUUGUUAUGAGUUUUAUGCUUACAUCUAUGAUCAAUUUUGAGUUAACUUUUGCAUAUGACUUGAGGUAAGCUUACAGGUUUGUUGUUGUUACAUAUGGCAAUUCAGUUGUUCUAGCACUAUUGGUUGAAAAGAUUACCUUUUUCCUAUUGAAUUGUCUUGGUCUGUUUUGGUACAUGGAACCCUAAAAUCCACUUGGUAUCUGGUUUCAGGCACUGAGUGGAUCUGGGGGCUCAAAUGAUGUCAGAAGGGCUGCUUCUGACCAUCUCUCAAUACUUCCUUCUUCUGUGGCUGGUUCAAAGGACAGCCUUCCUGUAGAGUUAAGAUGAACAUUAGUAGCCCAGUUCAUAGGUGCUCAGAGCCAUGAGGGCUUUGUUUUAGAUGUUCUGGCACAUGCACGUGCAUGCACACACACAGCUCCACAGACACAGACAUGCAUACGCAUACACACACACACACACACACACACACACACACACACACACACAGAGAGAGAGAGUAGGCCAGCUGCCUUGCACAGAGCCCUGAUGGGGAGAGCAAAAGUCAGAUUCAGAUUGGGACUACUUCACCAAAUCAAGGACUCUUUGCCAAAAUACUUCGUUUUACAAGACACACACCUAGGUGACCAUUCAGGAAAAGGGAUUGAGUUCUGAUGACAAAUGUCUGUCCUAUGUUGCUUGCAGGUGUGGGCUCCACAUGGCUCAGCUGAACAUUAACUCUAAUCCCAAGGAGCCCUUCCAUGUUGGCAGGAGGCGGUUGUUACACCCAGGAGGGAGAGCCUGAGCAGACCAAGGAUCCCUGGGUACUUCAUCACGAUGGGGAGACUUUGAGCUCCAUGUAAAUUGGUCCUCUGGGGAGAUCAAACUCUCAGAACCAACAGGCCUUUGUUUGCUAUGUUCUGGCACCACCAGGGAAAUAUUGAGGUUCCAAUAAGUUGGCUGAUGUACAGAGAGCCGUGGUGAGGAGACUAGAAGGCAGGUAAAAGACUUCAUUCAUGCAUUGGGAGCACUGUUAUGAGGUCUAACCAUAGCUAAAACGUGGGUUCAAGGAGUUGAGCUCUUGAUGACCCACGAUCCCUUUGCUUGGAAGCCUGAGGCCUCAAGGUUCAAAUGGGCUUUAUAGUUCUAACCCCAAGCCCCCAUGUUAAUAGAAGGCAAUUAUUGGGGCACCUGGGUGACUCAGUCGGUUGUGUCUGACUCUUGAUUUGGGCUCAGGUCAUGAUCUCUGCAGUUUGUGAGAUUGAGCCCCACAUUUGGCUGUGCGCGGACAGCACAGAGCCUGCUUGGGAUUCUCUCCCACUCUCUCUGCCCCUCCCCUGCUCGCAUAUGCUCUGUCUCUCAAAAUAAAUAAAAUAAAACUUAAACAAGAAAACAGAAGGCAAUUAUUAUACCCAGAAGGUCCAGGAGCGCCAUACCUUGGGAUGUGGGGAGCACUUAGG